UACGGGGGGAGCAAGCGUUGUUCGGAUUUACUGGGCGUAAAGGGCGCGUAGGCGGCCACCGCAAGUCGACUGUGAAAUCUCCGAGCUUAACUCGGAAACUGCCAUGGAUACUAUGUGUCUUGAAUGCUGUGGAGGUGAGCGGAAUAUGUCAUGUAGCGGUGAAAUGCUUAGAUAUGACAUAGAACACCAAUUGCGAAGGCAGCUCACUACACAAAUAUUGACGCUGAGGCACGAAAGCGUGGGGAUCAAACAGG
rnacentral:rRNA from 1 species